UUUCAUUCUUGUUGCCCAGGCUGGAGUGCUGUGGUGCAAUCUCUGUUCACUGCAACCUCCUCCUCCCGGGUUCAAACGAUUCUCCUGCUUCAACCUCCUGGGUAGCUGGGAUUACAGGCACCCACCACCACGCCCAGCUAAUUUUUGUAUUUUUAGUACAGAUGGGGUUUCAUCAUAUUGGUCAGGCUGGUCUCAAAUUCCUGACCUCAGGUGAUCCACCCACUUUGGCCUCCCAAAGUGCUGGGAUUACAGGCAUGAGCCACCGCGCCUAGCCUUGGGGCCUCUGUUUUUUGUGUGUGUUGAGAGGGCUGUAGAAAGGUUUUCACCAGGUCAAGACUGAGAAGUUGCAGGACCACGUUCUGGACCCAGGGCUCUGGCGGGCUUCACCCGGUGUCUUCACACCUCUAUCCCUAAUGCCUCACCAGCGCCCUCUAUUGAGAAUUCUUGGCAUUGUGCUCACUUUUUUUUUUUUUUUUUUUUUUUUUUUCUGGCGUAACGAGACUUUACUGAAAACAGAAAACCGGGCGAACCAAGGAUUACAAACAGGAAUGUGGACUCGUAGCAAAACAAAACAAAACAGAAAAAGGAGGGGGGACCGGUCGAAAGAACCGAAGGGGGAAGCGAGAUCGAGGAAAGGGGCGGAGAAUUUUUUUUCUUCUUCCCAUUUCUUUAAAAAACCAACACAAGAAAACACACACACACACAACCAACGUUUGUUCCCAAGUAGAAACAUAAAUAGGGCAGAAUCGAACACUCUGUUCUUCUCUCUUCCAAAGGAAAAAAAAAAAAAAGUUAAAGGAAAAGAAAGGCUGGGUUUGAGGCUGCGCCCCCUCGGAGCCCCCUUCCGCUGCGCGGUGUACAAGGUGGCAGCCGAGACGCGCGGGUUUGUGCAACACAGGGCGGCCGCGCGGGGGACAGAGGCAGCGCGAGGGCGGGGGGUCAUGCGCUCGCCCCCCCGGGAGCAGGGGGUCCAGCUUGUCGAGUCCGGGGCGCCCACGACACCCCCCCGCGAGCCCGCCCCUCGGGGAGGGUGGCCGCGCAUGCGCCCCGCGCGCGGACUCAGUACGCGGGCACCUGGUGCUGGGGCAGCAGCUGGCAGCCGCUGUUGACGUGGCUGAGGACUUUCUGCUUGAGCUGCGCCACCUGCUCGCGCAGCAGGCUUGCAGUGGACGCCAGCUCCGUGUUCUGGCUCUUAAGGGUCUUCACUUUCUCCUCCAGGCGCGAGAUGCGCUCCAGCUUGCGCUUGCGGCACUUGGAGGCGGCGAUGCGGUUGCGCAGCCGCUUGCGCUCCGCCUUGAUGCGCUCCUGCGUGUCCAUGUCGAUGGGUGACAGCGGCGGGCUCUCACCGAAGCUCGGCACGUCGGGCACCGUCUGUGGUUCGUCCUUGAGCGCAGCCAGGCGCGGCGGCCCCAACGCGCCCGGGGGUGGCGGCGGCGGGAAGGGCACGGGUUCGGCGGCGAAGGCGACCGUCCCGGCGCCCCCCGCGCCCCCGGCGCCGCCCGCGUAGCUACUCAGGUUCGCGUAGACGGGCGCCUCGGGCGCGGCCGCCGCCGGGGCCAGCUCGCCGGGGGGCGCGGAGCC
ensembl:lncRNA